UACGGUAGGGGCAAGCGUUAUCCGGAUUUACUGGGUGUAAAGGGAGCGCAGACGGAACUGCAAGUCUGAUGUGAAAGCCCGGGGCUCAACCGCGGGACUGCAUCGGAUACUGUAGAUCUGGAGUGCCGGAGGGGCAAGCGGAAUUCCUGGUGUAGCGGUGAAAUGCGUAGAUAUCAGGAGGAACACCGGCGGCGAAGGCGGCUUGCUGGACGGCAACUGACGUUGAGGCUCGAAAGCGUGGGGAGCAAACAGGAUUAGAUACCCCGGUA
rnacentral:rRNA from 1 species